AUUUGUAGCCUAUGAGGAUGAGAACCUCCGGGGGCAGGGAGGUUCGACUCGAGCGAAGCGAGAGAACGUUGCGCCAGCAACGGCCCGCAGGGCGAGCCACGAAGUGGCGAGUAAUCCUCUGGCACCGACCA
rnacentral:sRNA from 1 species